CAAAUUAUGUCAUUUCCCAUUUUCCUCAAUUUUUAAAAGCAAAUGAUGAAAGUAGAUUGUUUUUAAGGCACCUUUCCUCUUGAAAAUAUAUUAUUACAUGACAUGGAGAAUGUAAUAAGUGAGUUCCCUUGACAUAGUGAGUCUGUCUUAGAAAAAGACUCCAUCUUACGUUUCAAAAGCCAUCAAGCCAAUAGGGUCCAGAUGUUUGCCUAGUCAGUAGAGAUAAUACCAAAUCAGAUAAGGGUGUAACCCUUUACUAUCAAUUCUCACCAGAGGACUCAAGGUUCAUAAAAUGAGCAGAAAUUCAGCAGGUAGACAUGGCCUUCUUGAUAGCCCCUGUCUUUUCAUCAUUCAUGAUCAGCAGCACCUCAUAUCUGCCGCUGAAGACUCUGCCUAAAUCAAGGAUUCUUCUUUGCAAGACGUUGAUGACUGUCUGGAUCAGCAAUUUCUCCAAACAGAGCAAGUGACCAGUCACCACAGCAGCCUCAAGCCCCAAAUUUCAAAAUUUUCUGUGGAAAAUUAAGGUUGCUAUUUGAAACAAAGAGAUUGAAGCCAAGCAAAGUAAAUAACAAAAAAAUCACAGGAGAAACCAAAGAUGUUUUGGCAUCAACUAAACUUGGAUUGUAACAUUGACUCUGCCACUUUCUAGUUGUAAUGAGCUUCAAUUUUUGUCUUCUUAUAAAAUGAGGAUAAUAUUCCACACUUCACAGAGUUAUUGUAAGAAUCCAUUUAAGUAAAUGAAGUAACUGACAUGAAAACUGAUUAUGUAACUUGCCUAAGUCUUCCAACUAGGAAUGAUGCUGCAUAUAUUUAAAUCUCUGUCUGUGACACUAAGGUAGCCAAGGUAUCAAGUUGCCCGAUAACUGUUUCAGUUAUGAUACGAUCUAUGGACCCUAUGGCUGGCAGCAGAUGAAAGUGUGAAGUCCAGAGUUUCAAAUCAUGUCAGAUGAAGAAUCAACAGUGCAAGCUUUUGUAGAAUGGGUGAUAACUUUCAGG
rnacentral:lncRNA from 1 species